rnacentral:rRNA from 1 species
AGUGAACGCUGGCGGUAGGCCUAACACAUGCAAGUCGAACGGCAGCACAGAGGAGCUUGCUCCUUGGGUGGCGAGUGGCGGACGGGUGAGGAAUACAUCGGAAUCUACUCUGUCGUGGGGGAUAACGUAGGGAAACUUACGCUAAUACCGCAUACGACCUACGGGUGAAAGCAGGGGAUCUUCGGACCUUGCGCGAUUGAAUGAGCCGAUGUCGGAUUAGCUAGUUGGCGGGGUAAAGGCCCACCAAGGCGACGAUCCGUAGCUGGUCUGAGAGGAGGAUCGGCCACACUGGAACCGAGACACGGUCCAGACUCCUACGGGAGGCAGCAGUGGGGAAUAUUGGACAAUGGGCGCAAGCCUGAUCCAGCCAUACCGCGUGGGUGAAGAAGGCCUUCGGGUUGUAAAGCCCUUUUGUUGGGAAAGAAAUCCAUCUGGUUAAUACCCGGGUGGGAUGACGGUACCCAAAGAAUAAGCACCGGCUAACUUCGUGCCAGCAGCCGCAGUAA